UAUGAUCUACCUUGGCACAAAGUUUAAGCUUAAUCAAUAACAUUUACAGUAAAAAAGAGAAAUUUCAUAUACGAAUGAUACUUUGUCUAAAUCACUAAAACUUAUCAAAUUAGAAUUUUUCUUAUAGAUUCUCUUAUUUUGUUUUGUCAAAUAAUAUGAGUUAACAUGAUGCGUAGAAGAGAUAACUUUAUUUAAAAUAAAGGGUAAAUAAUAAUGAAAAUGAUGAAUAAACAUUGUUAUUAUUCUUACAAUCUAUAUAAUAAGGAUGACGAAUUUACACGUGUUAUAUCAACCUGCCCUUUAUACCCAUGCCAUCGCUUUACUCGCUCCAUCACAACAAUCGCAUCCUGCUCCUUUCCUUUUGUAAUGUCAGAUCACAAUCACAAAUUAUUUUUCAUAUUAUAUUUCCUUUUCUAUCUUAUGAAGAUAUUCUUCUAUAAUUUCUUUUAUGCUUUAUAGGUCAAUUGUUUCCAUAGCUAUUUUUUCCCUUCUUCCUCCUACCACCGCCAAUUAUUUUCAUCUAUACCC
rnacentral:lncRNA from 1 species